rnacentral:rRNA from 1 species
GACGAACGCUGGCGGCGUGCUUAACACAUGCAAGUCGAACGGAAAGGCCCUGCUUUUGUGGGGUGCUCGAGUGGCGAACGGGUGAGUAACACGUGAGUAACCUGCCCUGGACUUUGGGAUAACUUCAGGAAACUGGGGCUAAUACCGGAUAGGAGCUCCUGCUGCAGGGUGGGGGUUGGAAAGUUUCGGCGGUUGGGGAUGGACGCGCGGCUUAUCAGCUUGUUGGUGGGGUAGUGGCUUACCAAGGCUUUGACGGGUAGCCGGCCUGAGAGGGUGACCGGCCACAUUGGGACUGAGAUACGGCCCAGACUCCUACGGGAGGCAGCAGUGGGGAAUAUUGCACAAUGGGCGGAAGCCUGAUGCAGCAACGCCGCGUGCGGGAUGACGGCCUUCGGGUUGUAAACCGCUUUCGCCUGUGACGAAGCGUGAGUGACGGUAAUGGGUAAAGAAGCACCGGCUAACUACGUG